CUUGGUCAUUUAGAGGAAGUAAAAGUCGUAACAAGGUUUCCGUAGGUGAACCUGCGGAAGGAUCAUUAAUGAAUUUAGGAGGUUUGCUGUGCCGUCUUCACGGAAUUGUGCACGCUUACCUCUAUAAUCCUUAUCAACACCUGUGCACCUUUCUAGGGAGAACGAUAGGUUUCACGACCUAUCAUGACCUCUAUAUACACACUCUUUAUGUCAAUGAAUGUUACUUGGCCGAAAGGCUAGAAUUAUAAACAACUUUUAACAACGGAUCUCUUGGCUCUCGCAUCGAUGAAGAGCGCAGCGAAAUGCGAUAAGUAAUGUGAAUUGCAGAAUUCAGUGAAUCAUCGAAUCUUUGAACGCACCUUGCGCUCCCUGGUAUUCCGGGGAGCACGCCUGUUCGAGUGUUAUGAAACUAUCAAGAAAAAUUGGCUUUAUUGUUGAUUUUGAUUGGAUUUGAACUUUGACGUUGAUCUAGGUAGAGGGUUACUCCUCUGCUCUGUAAUACGACUAGUUUUAAAAGUAUAAGCAGGCUCUGGUUUUUUAAUUACCAUGGUUCUACUCAGCGUGAUAAUUAUCUAUCGUUGAGGACACUUUUAUUAGUGGCCAUGGUCCCAAGAGUUGCUCUCUAAUCUCUGUGAUCAGUUGCAAAACUGAUUUCAUUCAUAUCUGACCUCGAAUCAGGUGGGACUACCCGCUGAACUUAAGCAUAUCAAUAAGCGGAGGA
rnacentral:rRNA from 1 species